rnacentral:rRNA from 1 species
UGAGGGAAAGGCGAAAAGAACCCCUGUGAGGGGAGUGAAAUAGAACCUGAAACCGUAUACGUACAAGCAGUGGGAGCGGUUCUUGAGACCGUGACUGCGUACCUUUUGUAUAAUGGGUCAGCGACUUACAUUUUGUAGCAAGGUUAAGCGAAUAGCGGAGCCGUAGGGAAACCGAGUGUUAACUGCGCGUUUAGUUGCAAGGUGUAGACCCGAAACCCGGUGAUCUAGCCAUGGGCAGGUUGAAGGUUGAGUAACAUCAACUGGAGGACCGAACCGACUAAUGUUGAAAAAUUAGCGGAUGACUUGUGGCUGGGGGUGAAAGGCCAAUCAAACCGGGAGAUAGCUGGUUCUCCUCGAAAGCUAUUUAGGUAGCGCCUCGAGCGAAUACCAUUGGGGGUAGAGCACUGUUAAGGCUAGGGGGUCAUCCCGACUUACCAACCCUUUGCAAACUCCGAAUACCAGUAAGUACUAUCCGGGAGACACACGGCGGGUGCUAACGUCCGUCGUGGAGAGGGAAACAACCCAGACCGCCAGCUAAGGUCCCAAAGUAUAGCUAAGUGGGAAACGAUGUGGGAAGGCUCAGACAGCCAGGAUGUUGGCUUAGAAGCAGCCAUCAUUUAAAGAAAGCGUAAUAGCUCACUGGUCGAGUCGGCCUGCGCGGAAGAUGUAACGGGGCUAAGCUAUACACCGAAGCUGCGGCUACGUACCUUAGGGUAUGUGGGGUAGGGGAGCGUUCUGUAAGCCGUUGAAGGUGGUCUGUAAGGGCUGCUGGAGGUAUCAGAAGUGCGAAUGCUGACAUGAGUAACGAUAAAGGGAGUGAAAAACUCCCUCGCCGGAAGACCAAGGGUUCCUGUCCAACGUUAAUCGGGGCAGGGUAAGUCGACUCCUAAGGCGAGGCCGAAAGGCGUAGUCGAUGGGAAACGGGUUAAUAUUCCCGUACUUCUUACAAUUGCGAUGGGGGGACGGAGAAGGCUAGGUGGGCCUGGCGACGGUUGUCCAGGUUCAAGUAUGUAGGCGGAAAGUUUAGGUAAAUCCGGACUUUCAUUAACGCUGAGAUACGAUGUCGAGCUACUACGGUAGUGAAGUCAUUGAUGCCAUGCUUCCAGGAAAAGCCUCUAAGCUUCAGAUUGUAAGGAAUCGUACCCCAAACCGACACAGGUGGUCGGGUAGAGAAUACCAAGGCGCUUGAGAGAACUCGGGUGAAGGAACUAGGCAAAAUGGUACCGUAACUUCGGGAGAAGGUACGCUCUUAUCAGUGAAGUCCCUUGCGGAUGGAGCAGACGAGAGUCGCAGAUACCAGGUGGCUGCAACUGUUUAUUAAAAACACAGCACUGUGCAAAAUCGUAAGAUGACGUAUACGGUGUGACGCCUGCCCGGUGCCGGAAGGUUAAUUGAUGGGGUUAGACUUCGGUCGAAGCUCUUGAUCGAAGCCCCGGUAAACGGCGGCCGUAACUAUAACGGUCCUAAGGUAGCGAAAUUCCUUGUCGGGUAAGUUCCGACCUGCACGAAUGGCGUAAUGAUGGCCACGCUGUCUCCACCCGAGACUCAGUGAAAUUGAAAUCGCUGUGAAGAUGCAGUGUACCCGCGGCUAGACGGAAAGACCCCGUGAACCUUUACUACAGCUUGGCACUGAACAUUGAACCUACAUGUGUAGGAUAGGUGGGAGACUAUGAAAUUGCGUCGCUAGAUGUGAUGGAGUCGUCCUUGAAAUACCACCCUUGUAGUUUUGAUGUUCUAACGUUGGCCCCUGAAUCGGGGUUACGGACAGUGCCUGGUGGGUAGUUUGACUGGGGCGGUCUCCUCCCAAAGAGUAACGGAGGAGCACG